rnacentral:rRNA from 1 species
ACGGGGGGAGCAAGCGUUGUUCGGAUUUACUGGGCGUAAAGGGCGCGUAGGCGGCCACCGCAAGUCACUUGUGAAAUCUCCGGGCUUAACCCGGAAAGGUCAACUGAUACUGCGGGGCUAGAGUGCAGAAGGGGCAACUGGAAUUCUCGGUGUAGCGGUGAAAUGCGUAGAUAUCAAGCGGAACACCAGUGGCGAAGGCGAGUCCCUGGACAACUCCUGACACUGAGGCACGAAAGCUAGGGGAGCAAACAGGA